AAUUAAGAACCAUAGAAUGACUUCAUUUACGGUACACUCUUGAGCCAAUUAAAAAAAGCAUAAAGUAACAUCAAGGAUUAAUUUCACUCCCCUGCAACUGGUAAGCAUCUUGACAUAAUGGUCGUUGUCAAAGUUCACAUAAUGAAGGGCAGCAACCUGUCAUUUGUUUUAUUGAAGUAAGCAGCUUCAUUGAUGCCAUCAAAAAGAUGCAAAAUGUAGUACAAAAGAGAAUACAAAAUAAACUGAGUUAGCUGCUCCAUUACAUGAGAGGCUAUUCUAAGACCAGGAAGCUAACAAAGUUCAAGAAAUUGUCGGGGAAUCUCCAUGGGACAUAUUGUGCCAGCUAAAAAGAUACAGUAACAGAACAACCUGCCAUAUUAACACAGCAAUCAAGACAUAUACUGAACCGCUUUGGAUCAGAUUAAUUGUUAAAAGAAGCUCCACUAGAGAUCUUUUCAUAAUAUACCUCUGUUAAACAUGAAGAAGUGCAUAGACCAGGCAUGGUUGUGUAUUGUGCCAACUAAAAAGAUACAUUAAUAGAACAACCUGCCAUAUUAACACAGCAACCAAGACAUAUACUGAAUCGCUUUUGAUCAGUUUAAUUGUUAAAAAAAGCUCCACUAGAGAUCUUUUCGUAAUAUACCUCUGUUAAACAUGAAGAAGUGCAUAGACCAGGCAUGGUUGUGUAUGCCCAAGUUGACUCUAAUUUAACGCAUAAAUAUAGAAAUUAAAACUUAUCAAAACUGAGUGUCUGAAAAUGAUGUCUCAACUUUUAAGGAUUUAAAGAACUAUUUUAAAAACCCCAUACCCAUUCCUCUAAUUUUUAAGAAGUGACAAUUCUAUCAAACACCGAAUAGGUUUUUAAAUAUAUCCUCUAGAAGCAAACACCAACUAGUUUAGUAUAUAUAAAUGAAUUAGGAUCAAAGCAAAUCACAAGCAAUAUAGUAAAACAAAUGAAUCAAAAUUAACCUAGACUCCUUGGCGUAAUUGAUAAAGUUGCAACCAUGUGACCAAGAAGUCAUGGAUUCGAGUCGUGAAUAGCAAUGUACGGUAAGACUGCGUACAAUAGAC
rnacentral:lncRNA from 1 species